CCUACGGGAGGCUGCAGUGACGAAUAUUGGUCAAUGGGCGGGAGCCUGAACCAGCCAAGCCGCGUGAGGGAAGAAGGUACAGCGUAUCGUAAACCUCUUUUGUCAGGGAACAAAGGCGGGGACUAGUCCCCGGAUGAGGGUACCUGAAGAAAAAGCAUCGGCUAACUCCGUGCCAGCAGCCGCGGUAAUACGGAGGAUGCGAGCGUUAUCCGGAUUUAUGGGGUUUAAAGGGUGCGCAGGCGGCCUGUUAAGUCAGCGGUAAAAGCCCGGGGCUCAACCCCGGCGAGCCGUUGAAACUGGCGGGCUGGAGUUGGAGAGAAGUACGCGGAAUGCGCGGUGUAGCGGUGAAAUGCUUAGAUAUCGCGCAGAACCCCGAUUGCGAAGGCAGCGUACCGGCUCCACACUGACGCUGAGGCACGAAAGCGUGGGUAUCGAACAGGAUUAGAUACCCGUGUAGUC
rnacentral:rRNA from 1 species